rnacentral:rRNA from 1 species
GACGAACGCUGGCGGCGUGCCUAAUACAUGCAAGUUGAGCGCUGAAGGUUGGUACUUGUACCAACUGGAUGAGCAGCGAACGGGUGAGUAACGCGUGGGGAAUCUGCCUUUGAGCGGGGGACAACAUUUGGAAACGAAUGCUAAUACCGCAUAAAAACUUUAAACACAAGUUUUAAGUUUGAAAGAUGCAAUUGCAUCACUCAAAGAUGAUCCCGCGUUGUAUUAGCUAGUUGGUGAGGUAAAGGCUCACCAAGGCGAUGAUACAUAGCCGACCUGAGAGGGUGAUCGGCCAAAUUGGGACUGAGACACGGCCCAAAAUCCUACGGGAGGCAGCAGUAGGGAAUCUUCGGCAAUGGACGAAAGUCUGACCGAGCAACGCCGCGUGAGUGAAGAAGGGUUUCGGAUCGUAAAACUCGGUUGGUAGAGAAGAACGUUGGUGAGAGUGGAAAGCUCAUCAAGUGACGGUAACUACCCAGAAAGGGACGGCUAACUACGUG